rnacentral:rRNA from 1 species
CAGUAGCCGCGGUAAUACAGAGGGUGCGAGCGUUAAUCGGAUUUACUGGGCGUAAAGCGUGCGCAGGCGGUUAUAUAAGACAGAUGUGAAAUCCCCGGGCUCAACCUGGGAACUGCAUUUGUGACUGUAUAGCUAGAGUACGGCAGAGGGGGAUGGAAUUCCGCGUGUAGCAGUGAAAUGCGUAGAUAUGCGGAGGAACACCGAUGGCGAAGGCAAUCCCCUGGGCCUGUACUGACGCUCAUGCACGAAAGCGUGGGGAGCAAACAGGAUUAGAUACCGCGUAGUCCCUGUCUCUUAUACA